rnacentral:rRNA from 1 species
CAGUCGAACGAGUUCUCGUUGAUGAUCGGUGCUUGCACCGAGAUUCAACAUGGAACGAGUGGCGGACGGGUGAGUAACACGUGGGUAACCUGCCCUUAAGUGGGGGAUAACAUUUGGAAACAGAUGCUAAUACCGCAUAGAUCCAAGAACCGCAUGGUUCUUGGCUGAAAGAUGGCGUAAGCUAUCGCUUUUGGAUGGACCCGCGGCGUAUUAGCUAGUUGGUGAGGUAAUGGCUCACCAAGGCGAUGAUACGUAGCCGAACUGAGAGGCUGAUCGGCCACAUUGGGACUGAGACACGGCCCAAACUCCUACGGGAGGCAGCAGUAGGGAAUCUUCCACAAUGGACGCAAGUCUGAUGGAGCAACGCCGCGUGAGUGAAGAAGGCUUUCGGGUCGUAAAACUCUGUUGUUGGAGAAGAAUGGUCGGCAGAGUAACUGUUGUCGGCGUGACGGUAUCCAACCAGAAAGCCACGGCUAACUACGUGCCAGCAGCCGCGGUAAUACGUAGGUGGCAAGCGUUAUCCGGAUUUAUUGGGCGUAAAGCGAGCGCAGGCGGUUUUUUAAGUCUGAUGUGAAAGCCCUCGGCUUAACCGAGGAAGCGCAUCGGAAACUGGGAAACUUGAGUGCAGAAGAGGACAGUGGAACUCCAUGUGUAGCGGUGAAAUGCGUAGAUAUAUGGAAGAACACCAGUGGCGAAGGCGGCUGUCUGGUCUGUAACUGACGCUGAGGCUCGAAAGCAUGGGUAGCGAACAGGAUUAGAUACCCUGGUAGUCCAUGCCGUAAACGAUGAAUGCUAGGUGUUGGAGGGUUUCCGCCCUUCAGUGCCGCAGCUAACGCAUUAAGCAUUC